rnacentral:rRNA from 1 species
GAGCACGUAGGUGGGUUUGUAAGUCAGCUGUGAAAGCCUUCUGCUUAACGGAAGAACAGCAGUUGAAACUACAGUGCUUGAGUGCGGGAGGGGAGAGUGGAACUUCCGGUGGAGCGGUGAAAUGCGUAGAUAUCAGAAGGAACGCCGGCGGCGAAAGCGGCUCUCUGGCCCGUAACUGACGCUGAGUGUGCGAAAGCUAGGGGAGCAAACGGGAUUAGAUACCCCGGUAGUCCUAGCCGUAAACGAUGGGCACUAAGUAGAGGGGUUUU